ensembl:lncRNA
GGCCUCUGUAAGAAAAGUGGAACAGAAGUUAUGCUUUGGAGUUGCAGGAACUCCUGUGGUUCUCGUUGUGUGCUCUGUGUCAUGACUGUGCCAUAGAGGAGAGCUGAGUCUCCUUCCUCAUUAACUUGUUAUCUGGACGGGGCAGUGAGCACCUGCAGCCCUCCCUCCCCCCACCACGGCAGCCUCACUUAGUUGCAGUCAGAGGAGGACUGUUAUCUUCUUCCUGUUUCAAGGGAUGCCCUCUUUACCUUCUGUGACCUCUCCCUUAGUCUUCCAAUCAGAACCAGUGGGGAAGUUGCGGUGUCCAGUCUUUCCUCGUUUAAUAUUCUGUUAUCUUUGUGCCUCUGGGCUCAGCUGGGAGCUGCAGGAGGAGGAGGAAAUGGAUGAUGCGUGUCAGGAUUCUUUGGAUGAAAAGUAUUUGGCUCUUUCCAGUCACCAUGACUUGUCUGACUCCUGCCACCCUCCCGACAGUCCCACCAUCCCAUCUGAUGAGCAUGAAAUCUGCUCUCGUCUGGAUGGAGCCCAAAGUCAUGAAGACGAGGAGUAUGUGGAAGAGAGAGAACCACUGUCCAAAAUGAACGACCAGGGGAGGGUAAAGGACAGGGAGUUUGAUUUUCUAAUUCGAGUUCAGGCACGAGAGCUGACCCAGUUAUGCCUAAAGACACGGGAAGGAAGAGAGCUAUCGGUCCUCCUUAAUCAGAACCUCAAGGAGCUACUGGGCCGCAGUGACCUUAACAACCUCCGGGGGCAGGCCUUCCAAGAGCAAUUGGCUGAGGGAUGCAGGCUGUCCCAGGCCCUUGGCAGCAAGCUCGGCCCAGAAAACCACGAAGAGGAGGCUGAAGAACAACUGGGAUCACUGACCCCCAGGAAAUACCAUUUCCUCAUUCAUGAUCAUGCACGAAAGCUGACCCAGAUACGCCAGACGUCACGGGAAGGAAGAGAGCUCUCUGUCCUCCUCCAUCAGGACCUCAGGGACCUCCUCACCCACAGUGACAUUGGCAGAGACUGGGGACAGGGCUUCCAAGAACAACUGGCUGAGGGAUCCAGGCUGGCAGAGCACCUUGUCCGCAAGCUUAGCCCAGGUAAGGCGGCCAGAAGCCCUGAUUGCGCUGAGCCCCUCCAAGGUCCCUGGCUGACAAGAGCCUCGGAAUCUCCCCUCAUAACACUUUCACCAGCUGUCCUGGUGUCCACAUCGCACUUGGAGCC